UACGUAGGGUGCGAGCGUUGUCCGGAAUUAUUGGGCGUAAAGAGCUCGUAGGCGGUGUGUCACGUCGGCCGUGAAAACCUGCAGCUUAACUGUGGGCGUGCGGUCGAUACGGGCAUCACUGGAGUUCGGCAGGGGAGACUGGAAUUCCUGGUGUAGCGGUGAAAUGCGUUGAGAUCGGAAGGAACGCCCGUGGCGAAAGCGAGCGCCUGGGCCCCACCUGACGCUGAGACGCGAAAGCCAGGGGAGCGAACGGG
rnacentral:rRNA from 1 species